AUCUAGAUAACAAGUCGAAAAUGAGACGAAAUACGCGUCCUGGAU
rnacentral:hammerhead_ribozyme from 1 species